AUUGCAUAAUGCAGUAGCCACUGGAUUUGCAGCAGAAACACUCUGCUACAGAACAAGUGUCUUGGUUCACAGCAAAGAGGACAAAGAAAACAGCAAGUUUUAGGGGGUUGAAUCCUGGAUUCCCCUGGCAAACACCAUUCUACUUUCCGUCUCUAUGAAUUUGACUACUCGAAGUACCUCAUGUGAAAUGUUGGUGCCAAAUGAACUUUUCUGGUUCUUCUGAAUAUGCCACUGUUGCUGGAGAAAUGUCACUGCUAGAGAACAGAAGACUAUUAUUCCAAAGGGUAUUUGAGACUGACUGAAUCAGGUCUGGAACAUUAUUGAAAUGGUGGUGACCAGAUGGAUAUAAACGGGCUGUGGAAAAAGAGAAUGCAUGGCCAAAAAUGGUGGUGCUCUCUGUCCAAAAACUGAGGCCCUAUGACCAUGAAUGAAGCCAGAGGGCAGGUAGGAAUAGAUCAUUUGCUCCAGAAGAAGCUGGUUGCCAUGUCUUGAGGACAGUAAACCCUCUGGGGAGGUUCCUGUGGUAAGGAACAAGGGCUCCUGGCAAUAGCCUCUGAGUGAGCCACCUUGAAAAUGGAUUGUCCAGCCCCAGUCAAGCUUUCAGAUGACUGUAGCUCCUGCCAAUGUCUUCACCACAACCUCAUGAGAUCCCAAGCUACAACCACUCAGAACUUCAUCUUUUGGGAAGCACCAGGGAGAGCUGCCUGUGCCUGGCAGAAGCUGCCCAUGCCCCACUGAUACCCCACAGUACUUCCUGUUCUGCUUAGUACUCCUGCUUCUUUCUACAAACAACUGUGAUUCUCUACCUGGGAGCUUCCUCUGGCCACAGGAGCCUGCUCACCUGAUUGGGACACCCUAGCAGUACUGGCUCAUAGAUGGAAGGGACUUGCCUUGUCGCUGAUGAGACUUUCGACUUGGACUUUUGAGUCAAUGCUGGAAUGAGUUAAGACUUUGGGGAACUGUUGGAAGGGUGUGAUUGUGUUUUGAAUUGUGAGGACAUGAGAUUUUGAAGAGGCUAAUGGCAGCGUCCCCACCUAAAUCUCUUCUUGAAUUGUAGUUCCCAUAAUCCCCACGUGUCGUGGGGUGGAGCCGGUGGAGAUAAUUGAAUCAUGGGAACACUUUCCCCCAUGCUGUUAUUGUGAUUGUGAAUUCUCACGAGAUCUGAUGGUUGUAUAAACGCCUUCCCUCUUCGCUGGGCACUCAUUUUUCUCCUUCCUGCCACCAUGUGAAGAAGGAUAUGCUUGCUUCUUGUGCCAUGAUUGUAAGUUUCCUGAGGCCUCCCCAGCCAUGCUGAACUGUGAGUCAAUUGAACCUCUUUCCUUUAUAAAUUACCUAGUCUUGGAUAUGUUUUUAUUAGCAGUGUGAGACAGGACUAAUACACAAAGGAUUUGAAAUCACAAAGGAGCUGUUUUCUGCUCCACCAUGGAAGUCUCACAUGCAUCACAUCUAUUCAUAUCCAUUUGCCACAACUAGACAAAAAGUCCUUUUUAAAAUCUGCCUAGAGAUCAGGAAGUAUUAUCUCUGGAUGCCUAGGCAGGAGAGGUGAAUCAGAUAUUGGUGGGCACUAGUGUGUUCUAUGAUACAUAGCUUAAUAAAAAUAAGUUUCAGAUAAAUCUAAAUAUACAUUAGAAUACUGUAACCACAGUAGAAAAAAAUAUUGGCUCCUUUUUGUGAUAAACUAAUGAUGGUAAAUGCACCCUAUUUAAGCAAGAAAAGAAACUGAUCUGCCAUAAAGAAAACAAUGACAUAUUUAACUACAAAAUAUGUUACAAAAUAUUAAUAUCCCUAAUGGACAAAUGAGUUCCAAUAAAUGGAUAACAAAAAACCAAUAAGUCUGUAGAAAAAUGGAGAAAAUAUAUUUGCAGAAUAUUUAUACAGGUGGUAAUGAAAUUGACAAUGAUGUUUAUCAUCAGCAGUAAACAGUAAAAAGUUUCACCCACCAGGACUAUAGAAAUUUUUCAAAUGGAUAAUUUUCAGAAUCAGCAAAGUUAUAGAAAAGUAGGUACCAGUUGCACAUACCAUUGGAGGAAAUGUAAAAUAUAGUUACCUUGUGGAAAGUAAUCUGAUGUAAUAUAUUAAAAUUUUAUCCAUGUAUGUCCUAUAAUUCAGCAAUUCCAUGUUGGGGAAUCCAUACAAAGAAAUACUUAUACACAUGCAGAAGGAGCUAAGUUUAAGAAAGCACACAUUUCAGCGGGUUGUGGUGUCUCACCCCUGUAAUCCCAGCACAUUGGGAGGCCGAGGUUGGUGGAUCACCUGAGGUCAGGAGUUUGAGACCAGCCUGGCCAACAUGGUGAAACCCUGUC
ensembl:lncRNA STXBP5-AS1 STXBP5 antisense RNA 1